CAGCAAGACAGCCAUUCCUAUCCUCAACAGCUACAGGAGCCAGAGCAGAGAGACAAAAUCUUUUUAUUACUUUGUUUUCCCCUGCUAUUCUUCAAUAUGGGCAUCUUUUGACAUCUUUUGCCAAACAGUGGAUUCAAAGCAUAUUGUGGACACAGUAGGCCUAUAUUGACGUGAGACCAUGCAGAAAAUGCUACUUUCUCUCAACCUCCUGGAUCAGCAUUCAGCAGCCUCGUGACACAGUUGAAGCCAUUAUCGAAUUCUUUGCGUGUACCGGUAUGUACCCUGGAUCAAGCAGCACUUGCAUUAUACAGGAGAUUCCACCCAAAAUCUAAACCAUGAGUCCAAGCUGAAGAGGAAUAUUUCCAAAAUGAGGUCUACACACACACAGAGGUUACUUUCCCCUUCAUUAUAGAGAUAUCGAGAGAGAGAGAUGGGUGGGGGGGGGGGGGGGGGGAGUGAGUUAUAGCCACGAACCUGAAUAGCUUAGAUGUAGAACUGAGAUGCCCAUUCAUGUCACUUGCCAUUUUAAUGAAUUCCAGGGUUUACAAACAUACAUAUUAACACUUUGGGUAAAAGAUCUCUGUAUUUGCAUAAAUUUGUUAUUACUAUUUAUGAAGUAGACCUGUUUCAUAAUGCUUAUGUAGUAGAUCAGUCUCAUACUCGACCCCACCCCCUUCAUAUCACAAUGUCAAUUCCUAAAACCUGUGGCAAAUUAUAUAAGUUGGUAAUAGAGAAAAAUUGAAUGAGGUAGAUGCAA